rnacentral:rRNA from 1 species
AUUGAACGCUGGCGGCAUGCUUUAUACAUGCAAGUCGUGCGGCAGCGCGGGGGCAACCCUGGCGGCGAGCGGCGAACGGGUGAGUAAUACAUAGGAACGUAUCCUGAAAUGGGGGAUAGCUCGGCGAAAGCCGGAUUAAUACCGCAUACGCUCCACGGAGGAAAGCAGGGGAUCGCAAGACCUUGCGUUGCUGGAGCGGCCUAUGUCUGAUUAGCUAGNGGCGGGGUAAUAGCCCACCAAGGCGACGAUCAGUAGCUGGUCUGAGAGGAUGAUCAGCCACACUGGGACUGAGACACGGCCCAGACUCCUACGGGAGGCAGCAGUAGGGAAUUUUGGACAAUGGGCGCAAGCCUGAUCCAGCCAUGCCGCGUGAGUG